UUCAUAAGAUAUUAAGGAGUUUUUACAAUACCGUGUAUCCAGAUACGGUGAACGCUAAGGUUAGGUUAUCUUCUU